GACGAACGCUGGCGGCGUGCUUAACACAUGCAAGUCGUACGGUAAGGCCCUUUAGGGGGUACACGAGUGGCGAACGGGUGAGUAACACGUGAGUAACCUGCCCACAACUUUGGGAUAACGCUAGGAAACUGGUGCUAAUACUGGAUAUGUGCUCCUGCUGCAUGGUGGGGGUUGGAAAGCUCCGGCGGUUGUGGAUGGACUCGCGGCCUAUCAGCUUGUUGGUGGGGUAGUGGCCUACCAAGGCGGCGACGGGUAGCCGGCCUGAGAGGGUGACCGGCCACAGUGGGACUGAGAUACGGCCCAGACUCCGACGGGAGGCAGCAGUGGGGAAUAUUGCACAAUGGGCGCAAGCCUGAUGCAGCAACGCCGCGGGCGGGAUGACGGCCUUCGGGUUGUAAACCGCUUUCAGCAGGGACGAAGCUUUUUGUGACGGUACCUGCAGAAGAAGCACCGGCUAACUACGUG
rnacentral:rRNA from 1 species